UACGUAGGGUGCAAGCGUUGUCCGGAAUUAUUGGGCGUAAAGAGCUCGUAGGCGGUCUGUCGCGUCUGCUGUGAAAAUCCAGGGCUCAACCCUGGACCUGCAGUGGGUACGGGCAGACUAGAGUGCGGUAGGGGAGAUCGGAAUUCCUGGUGUAGCGGUGAAAUGCGCAGAUAUCAGGAGGAACACCUAUUGCGAAGGCAGCUCGCUGGGACGUAACUGACGCUGAGACGCGAAAGCGUGGGGAGCAAACAGG
rnacentral:rRNA from 1 species